rnacentral:lncRNA from 1 species
CUGAAACUGCUGCUUUCUUGCUUUCUUUCUACUUGUAUGGGGAAAUAAUAAUGGAAGUUUCUUUAAAGUUAAAUAAAAAAAAGUAGAGAGUUAUUUCCAAUUCAUGGAUAAAUGAUUUACUACUAUUCCAAGAAUUUACAGUCUAGUUAAUUAAUGGCAUAUUCUUGAGAAAAAGUUGAGGAGCAAAUGCCGCUUAUUAUUAUUAUAUUUCUUUUUCCUCUUAAGAGAGUCUUGACUAGCAGCAUAAAGUUUGACAUCUCCCGUAGCAAUCACUUGUUUAUUCAGGAUGUCCACUGUGUAUUCUUUCAACCCUGCAAAUGAAUCCAAGUAAAAUUUAUAUCAUAAUAAUUGAACUAUGGUGGUUAAUAUUUUUUUCAGUGUUAAACCAACCAACCACUUGGAACAAACACUUUCAAGUGACGCAACAAAACAGAAGAUGGCAUAUAGGAUAUUGGGCUAACACCCCCCUGAUCAAUAUUAGGUUUAGAUUGAAAGAAUGAAAUAGAGAUUGGAAUCAAUUUAAUAUUGUUCAUUUUAUAGCCUUAAUUAUUGUAACAUAAUAAAUGUAUGAAUACAUGGAGAAACAUUUAAGGAAGGUUGUUAGUUACCACUGAUCUUGGGAAACUCUCUGUCGACAGUAAUCGCACCCAAAAUUUCCACUCACUACUAUCACCUGAAUCUAAAGAUAGAUAGAUAGCAACCCAAAGAAAAUUAGCAAUUAGAAAAGAGCCCAAGCUGGUGUAAAAAAGAAAAGGGGGUAGAAUUACGUAUUAGCAGUACAAAUAAGAAACUCGGGUGUGUAUGUUUUUGUUUGUCUUGAAUCUUGAUAAUAAUAAACGAAAGAAAGCAGCAGAGCUACCUAUACUAUAUAACUCACCGAGGGAACCGUCAGAUUUGCGACGUAAAACAAUGCUUGCUUGCUAACUUUCUCCAUGUUUGCAUUUAGCAAUAAGACGAAGGGAAGGGAAGGGAAGGGGUUGGUUUCUUUCUUACACAACUGAAUGAAGAAGCUAGCGUUUAUUUGUAUACUAAUUAAACUAUGUACUUCCAACCAAAAUCAACUCUAGUUGAACACAGAUCAUAACUGUACAAUAAUAAUCUAAUUAAAUUCAACUUUGGUUCAUCAUCUCCAACUAAUUAAGGAAAGAAGACACGCAUGUCAUAGCCGCCCUCCCCUCUUACCACUUGCUCCUUUAUUCUUAUGCGUCCAAACUUGACCGUAGGCUUCAUGUUCUCAACACCUUUUAACUAAUCUCUUCUAUAGUAUAUUCUAAGAUACUAGUACUAUCGAAAAGCUUGCUAUGACUAGAGACCCUAAUUCAAUCUAACUGUAUAGUUAUGGAGACUAGUAUAUAAUAUAUCCUACAACUUGUAUACAGAUACUUUGCACCAACCAAUCUACUUGCUG